rnacentral:lncRNA from 1 species
CAAAACUUGAUACAAACCAUGACCAAGUGGGCUUUGUCAUGGGAAUGCAAGACUGGAUGAGUACUCAAAAAACAACCGAUGUAAUCCACCAGAUUAUCAGAUUAAAAGGAAAAACAGUCAUCAUCAAUCAAUGCAGAAAAGCAUUUGACAAAAUUCAACAUACAUUCAUGAUUUAAAAAAAAAAACUCUCAGCAAAUUAGGAAUAGAAGGGACCUUCUUCAUUCUGAUAACACCUACGUCUAACAUUUUAAAAUUUAAUAUAAAGCAACAGCAAUAAAGACAGUGUGGUAUUGGCAAAGGAACAGACACAUGUGUGUCUGAAAUUUUUCAUCAUAAACAAUUUUUAAAAAUAAAAUUUAAAAUAAACCAAAUAUAAGGAAUCUGGAAAGGUCACUGAGGCACAUGCGGAACAUUAUUAAAAGGCUGGAGAACAGACACUACAGCUGUGAUUCCUGCCUGUCUCAUUCGCUCACUCAAACUCAAUGCUUGGCAUAGAGCACAUAGUCCAUAAAUAGCUGCUCAAUGAAUAAAAAGUGAAUGACGCACCAAGGGAAAUCUUACUCUUUUUCCUUAACCCUAUAGAAGGAAAUAGCACCAAGAAUCCUAAUGAAUUGAUCUCCUUAAUUGAAAACCAAAUAGAGAAAGCUGCUUUAAAAAUAAAUUUUAUUUUAGAAUGUCAAAUCCUAAAAUAGAAUGUCUUUUCCUAAAUACCCCAGCCUACACUGCUUUCUCUUUUAUGAACUCCUCUAGUAAGUGGCCUUAACAUUUCUUAAUCAAAUACAGUGUUAAACUGUCCUCCUGUGUGUGGUGCCUGGGCUUUACCAUGUGGUGAGGAUGGAAAUAGCUGACUUGUAUUGAUGGAGUUCCUGCCAUAUAUCCUGACACUGUUCUAAGUGCUUUCCACUCAACCCUGCAAAGCAAGUUAUUAGUAUCCCCUCUCCCAGAUGAAGAAACUGGGGCAUAGAGGGUCAAGUAACUUCUCCAAGGUCACACAGCUAGUCCAGGGCAGAGCAGGGACUCAAACACAGGCAAUCUGGCUCCGUACUUGCCUCAGUACUGCCUCUUCUGAGGACCUUGAGAACCCAGACUCCUACAAAUCACACUAUUUUUGUGUAUUUUUCUCAGCAAUGUCCACCUAGGACAAGGUUGGGUAUGCAGCACAUACUUUAAAAUCUAAAUGACUGGUGUGCUAUCUGGGCUGCAUUUGCAAAUUCCAAGAGCAUCUUUAGGGAAAGUUUUUAGUUAAAGUUUGUGUUGUUCUGAAGAGCCCUCCUGAACUUUCUAUAAUGUUUUAGUUAAUUCCACCAUGAGGAUUUCCAUGACAAAAAAAAAUUGUUCAUGUGUGAUAAAGAUAAAAUGUUAGUACUUACCAGAUGUUAAGUUUUUAAUGUAAAUAUUGCCCAAAAUAGAUACCAAAACAAGACUAGCAAAGUAAAAAUCCUCCU